CUACUACAUAUAUCGCCCAGAAAUACAGCAGGGCCUUCGCAGGUUAUUUCAGGAAGGGGCCAGAGUGCACAUCAUGUCCCUUAAAGAAUUUAAAUACUGUUGGGCCAAGUUGGUGUACAAUUUGGGAAUGCCAUUCAUGCCUUGGUACCAAUUCAAUGAAAAUUAUCAAUUACUGGUUACCCAGCUGAAGAAGAUUCUCAGCCUCUGAGAUGACCUGCUCCAGUCCAGGAUGGUCACCCACCGCUGCUGCUACCGGUGGAACUUGCCAGCACUC